rnacentral:rRNA from 1 species
UAGUCAUAUGCUUGUCUUAAAGACUAAGCCAUGCAUGUCUAAGUAUAAGCACUUGUACAGCAAAACUGCGAAUGGCUCAUUAAAUCAGUUAUAAUUUAUUUGAUGGUACAAUUACCACUUGGAUACCCGUGGUAAAACUAGAGCUAAUACAUGCACAAAAACCUGACUGGUAACGGAAAGGUUGUAUUUAUUAGAUACAAAACCAAUAUUUUAAAGAGAGCAAUCUUUUUAAAAUUUCAAUUGGUGAUUCAUAGUAAUUUAACGAAUCGUAUGGCCUUGCGCUGACGAUAGUUCAUUCAAAUAUCUGCCCUAUCAACUUUCGAUGGUAGUAUAGAGGACUACCAUGGUGGUAACGGGUAACGGAGAAUCAGGGUUUGAUUCCGGAGAAGGAGCCUGAGAAACGGCUACUACUUCCAAGGAAGGCAGCAGGCGCGCAAAUUACCCAAUCCCAAUACGGGGAGGUAGUGACAAUAAAUAACAAUAUUGGAUUUUAUUAAAAAUCUAAUAAUUGGAAUGAGUACAAUCUAAACCCCUUAACGAGUAUCAAUU